GUUAAGGGAGGAAGUCCCUAGCUUCAUGAUGGUCAUCAUUAUCUAAGAUGUACACACUGAAACAGCCUCUCAACUGCCUUACCAUUUUUGUUUCGUGCAAGUAAUCACAGCAUAUGCAUGCUCUGACAAGCCAUCACCAUGUUUCACUCUUUUUUAGCUACUUCCUUGCCACUCCUAGACCACAGGAGACAUAUAACUACACUGGAACUUUGAGGCUAUGCCAAGCCCACCUGCCAACAUUGCCAUCUUUUCCAUAUAGCAGCUGCCAGGAACUCCACAGAGAAGAUGAGCAAUUUGUCCCUCUAUCUCUGAGAACCAUUGAUGGUUCCAGAGAAUACCCCAGUAUUUUUGCUGAGAAUAUGGAACAAUGGAAGAAAGAGUGAGUGGGUAACAGAAAUAAACCUAAAUAAUCUAACA
rnacentral:lncRNA from 1 species